CAAAAUGUUAGAUUUUAUACAUAGAAAUACUCAAAAAUGUAAAAACAGUUUAUUGUUCCUUAGUGUGAUUUCUAUCAUAAUUUGCUUCAGUAAUUUGGUCUCAUUUAUUAUCCACUUAUAAUUACAAUCUUGAUAAGUUUAAUUGAUUCAGUUUAAAUUUUUAAAAAUAAUUACCCAUAUGAUUAACCUAUCCAUCUUGACAAACUCUGUCCUUCCAGUCCAAAAUAUAGUAAAUUUGGACUUUCUCUUACUUAGACGUCAAUUGAUUGAUAUUAUGUUCAUGUAUGAUUUAUUAAAUUAUAAUAUUGUAUGUCCUGAGAUCCUAGCUUAAAUCAAUUUUCGAAUUCCUUCAUUUUUUUCUUGAAAUUACUAUCUUUUUGUUAACCUUUAUUUCAAAUUUAAAAUCAUUAAUGACUCACUUUUUGUUAGAACUCUGAGUUAGAGCUAAUUUAGUUUCCACUGCUUUAGAUUCCUUUAAUAUUUCUCGUGAUAUUUUUAGAUUUAAAUC